rnacentral:rRNA from 1 species
AACGUAGGGGGCCAGCGUUGCUCGGAAUUAUUGGGCGUAAAGGGUGCGUAGGCGGUUUGGUAAGUCUUGUGUGAAAUCUACAGGCUCAACUUGUAGUCUGCACGAGAAACUGCCGGGCUUGAGUGUGGGAGAGGUGAGUGGAAUUCCUGGUGUAGCGGUGAAAUGCGUAGAUAUCAGGAGGAACACCUGUGGCGAAAGCGGCUCACUGGACCAUAACUGACGCUGAUGCACGAAAGCUAGGGGAGCAAACAGG